UUAACUUAUUAUAUAGUACUCAGACGACACAUAAACAUUAGAAUUGGGGUCCUCUGGCAAGCACGCCUCCGCCGAAGCCGAGGGCCAUAAAUGGCGGCCUGCCAAAGCAACAAUGGUAUAUAAACAGGGUGGGAGGUCUACCCGUGAGGGCAUGAUCUCUGUAAUGAUCCUUCCGCUGGUUCACCAACGGAAA
rnacentral:misc_RNA from 1 species